GCGGCGAGUAGAUCGGCGACCCAUCCGACCCGUCUUGAAACACGGUCCAAGGAGUUCUACAUGUGAGCGAGUGAUUGGGUGUCGAGAGACCCAAACGCACAAUGAAAGUGAAGGCCCGGAUUGCCGAGCCGAGGGGCGAUCCCGUUUCGGCGGGCGCAGCCCCGGGACGCGCCGUUCGCCUCGUCGACGGCUCGUACCCAGAGCGUACACGUUGGGACCCGAAAGAUGGUGAACUAUGCUUGGCCAGGACGAAGUCAGAGGAAACUCUGAUGGAGGUCCGUAGCGAUUUUGACGUGCAAAUCAAUCGUCCGAGCUGGGUAUAGGGGCGAAAGACUAAUCGAACCAUCUAGUAGCUGGAUCCAUCCGAAGUUUCCCUCAGGAUAGCUGGCGCUCGCANGACCGAGUUUCAUCCGGUAAAGCGAAUGAUUAGAGGCCUUGGGGCCGAAACGANCUCAACCUAUUCUCAAACUUUAAAUGGGUGAGAAGUCGGGCUUGCUCGACUGAAGCACCGACCNUNGAAUCNAGAGUGCCAAGUGGGCCACUUUUGGUAAGCAGAACUGGCGCUGUGGGAUGAACCAAACGCAGAGUUAAGGUGCCCGAGAGAACGCUCAUCAGAUCCCAUGAAAGGUGUUGGUUGCUAUAGACAGCAGGACGGUGGCCAUGGAAGUCGGAA
rnacentral:rRNA from 1 species